UACGUAGGUGGCGAGCGUUGUCCGGAUUUACUGGGCGUAAAGAGCGCGCAGGCGGUCGUACAAGUCGCGUGUGAAAGCCCCCGGCUCAACUGGGGAGGGUCACGCGAUACUGUUCGACUCGAAGGCAGGAGAGGGAAGUGGAAUUCCCGGUGUAGUGGUGAAAUGCGUAGAUAUCGGGAGGAACACCAGUGGCGAAGGCGACUUCCUGGCCUGUUCUUGACGCUGAGGCGCGAAAGCUAGGGCAGCAAACGGG
rnacentral:rRNA from 1 species